GCCGAAGUGGCGGAAUGGCAGACGCGUCGGUCUCAAAAACCGAUGGCCGAAAGGUCGUGCGGGUUCGACUCCCGCCUUCGGCACUA
rnacentral:tRNA from 1 species